UACGUAGGGUGCGAGCGUUGUCCGGAAUUAUUGGGCGUAAAGAGCUCGUAGGCGGUUUGUCGCGUCUGCUGUGAAAUCCCGAGGCUCAACCUCGGGCCUGCAGUGGGUACGGGCAGACUGGAGUGCGGUAGGGGAGAAUGGAACUCCUGGUGUAGCGGUGGAAUGCGCAGAUAUCAGGAAGAACACCGAUGGCGAAGGCAGUUCUCUGGGCCGUAACUGACGUUGAGGAGCGAAAGCGUGGGGAGCGAACAGG
rnacentral:rRNA from 1 species